rnacentral:rRNA from 1 species
GAUGAACGCUGGCGGCGUGCCUAAUACAUGCAAGUCGAGCGAACAGACGAGGAGCUUGCUCCUCUGACGUUAGCGGCGGACGGGUGAGUAACACGUGGAUAACCUACCUAUAAGACUGGGAUAACUUCGGGAAACCGGAGCUAAUACCGGAUAAUAUAUCGAACCGCAUGGUUCAAUAGUGAAAGACGGUUUUGCUGUCACUUAUAGAUGGAUCCGCGCCGCAUUAGCUAGUUGGUAAGGUAACGGCUUACCAAGGCGACGAUGCGUAGCCGACCUGAGAGGGUGAUGGGCCACACUGGAAGUGAGACACGGUCCAGACUCCUACGGGAGGCAGCAGUAGGGAAUCUUCCGCGAAGGGCGAAAGCCUGACGGAGCAACGCCGCGUGAGUGAUGAAGGUCUUCGGAUCGUAAAACUCUGUUAUUAGGGAAGAACAAAUGUGUAAGUAACUAUGCACGUCUUGACGGUACCUAAUCAGAAAGCCACGGCUAACUACGUG